UCUAAGUUUGAUGGCGACCGGCGCACGGGUGAGUAACACGUAUCCAACCUGCCGAUGACUCGGGGAUAGCCUUUCGAAAGAAAGAUUAAUACCCGAUGGCAUAGUUCUUCCGCAUGGUAGAACUAUUAAAGAAUUUCGGUCAUCGAUGGGGAUGCGUUCCAUUAGGUUGUUGGCGGGGUAACGGCCCACCAAGCCUUCGAUGGAUAGGGGUUCUGAGAGGAAGGUCCCCCACAUUGGAACUGAGACACGGUCCAAACUCCUACGGGAGCAGCAUG
rnacentral:rRNA from 1 species